ACCUGGGUGGCUCAGUCAGUUAAGCAUCUGACUCUGGCUCAGGUCAUGAUCUUAUGGUUCGUGAGUUUGAGUCCCACAUCAGGUA
rnacentral:tRNA from 1 species